rnacentral:rRNA from 1 species
UCAAGUAAUUAAGUGCAUGUGGUGGAUGCUUGGCAGUCAGAGGCGAUGAAAGACGUGAUAGCCUGCGAAAAGCUCCGGGGAGGCGGCAAAUAUCCUUUGAUCCGGAGAUGUCUGAAUGGGGGAACCCACCUACUUUAAGGUAGGUAUUGCAACAUGAAUACAUAGUGUUGCAAGGCGAACGAGGGGAAGUGAAACAUCUCAGUACCCUUAGGAAAAGAAAUCAAUUGAGAUUCCCUCAGUAGCGGCGAGCGAACGGGGAUCAGCCCAUUAAGUUAUGUGUGUUUUAGUGGAACGCUCUGGGAAGUGCGAACGUAGAGGGUGAUAUUCCCGUACACGAAAGGGCACACAUAAUGAUGACGAGUAGGGCGAGGCACGUGAAACCUUGUCUGAAUAUGGGGGGACCAUCCUCCAAGGCUAAAUACUCCUGACUGACCGAUAGUGAACCAGUACCGUGAGGGAAAGGCGAAAAGAACCCCUGUGAGGGGAGUGAAAUAGAUCCUGAAACCGCAUGCAUACAAGCAGUGGGAGCACCUUCGUGGUGUGACUGCGUACCUUUUGUAUAAUGGGUCAGCGACUUAUAUUCAGUAGCGAGGUUAACCGUAUAGGGGAGCCGUAGAGAAAUCGAGUCUUAAUAGGGCGUUUAGUUGCUGGGUAUAGACCCGAAACCAGGCGAUCUAUCCAUGAGCAGGUUGAAGGUUGGGUAACACUAACUGGAGGACCGAACCCACUGUCGUUGAAAAGCCAGGGGAUGACUUGUGGAUAGGGGUGAAAGGCUAAUCAAGCCUGGUGAUAGCUGGUUCUCCCCGAAAGCUAUUUAGGUAGCGCCUCGGACGAAUACCAUAGGGGGUAGAGCACUGUUUCGGCUAGGGGGUCAUCCCGACUUACCAAACCGAUGCAAACUCCGAAUACCUAUGAGUACUAUCCGGGAGACAGACUGCGGGUGCUAACGUCCGUAGUCAAGAGGAAAACAAUCCAGACCGCCAGCUAAGGCCCCAAAAUCAUAGUUAAGUGGGAAACGAUGUGGGAAGGCAUAGACAGCUAGGAGGUUGGCUUAGAAGCAGCCACCCUUUAAAGAAAGCGUAAUAGCUCACUAGUCGAGUCGGCCUGCGCGGAAGAUGUAACGGGGCUAAAACUAUGUGCCGAAGCUGCGGAUGUAUACUUUGUAUACGUGGUAGGGGAGCGUUCUGUAAGCCGAUGAAGGUGUGUUGAGAAGCAUGCUGGAGGUAUCAGAAGUGCGAAUGCUGACGUGAGUAACGACAAAACGGGUGAAAAACCCGUUCGCCGAAAGACCAAGGGUUCCAGUCCAACGUUAAUCGGGGCUGGGUGAGUCGACCCCUAAGGCGAGGCCGAAAGGCGUAGUCGAUGGGAAAAUGGUUAAUAUUCCAUUACUUCUGUGUAAUGCGAUGAGAGGACGGAGAAGGCUAAAUCAGCCUGGCGUUGGUUGUCCAGGUGAAAGGAUGUAGGCAUGUAUCUUAGGCAAAUCCGGGGUACUCUAUGCUGAGAUCUGAUAGCAAGCUGUACUUGUACAGCGAAGUGGUUGAUGCCAUGCUUCCAGGAAAAGUCUCUAAGCUUCAGUUACACAGGAAUCGUACCCGAAACCGACACAGGUGGUCAGGUCGAGUAGACCAAGGCGCUUGAGAGAACUCUGCUGAAGGAACUAGGCAAAAUGGUACCGUAACUUCGGGAGAAGGUACGCUGUUGUUGGUGAUGGAACUCGCUUCCUGAGCUGACGACAGCCGCAGAAACCAGGCCGCUGCAACUGUUUAUUAAAAACAUAGCACUCUGCAAACACGAAAGUGGACGUAUAGGGUGUGAUGCCUGCCCGGUGCUGGAAGGUUAAUUGAUGGGGUUAGCGUAAGCGAAGCUCUUGAUCGAAGCCCCAGUAAACGGCGGCCGUAACUAUAACGGUCCUAAGGUAGCGAAAUUCCUUGUCGGGUAAGUUCCGACCUGCACGAAUGGCAUAAUGAUGGCGGCGCUGUCUCCAGCAGAGGCUCAGUGAAAUCGAAAUCGCUGUGAAGAUGCAGUGUACCCGCGGCUAGACGGAAAGACCCCGUGAACCUUUACUGCAGCUUGACACUGAACUUUGACCUUACUUGUGUAGGAUAGGUGGGAGGCUUUGAAGCUGGAACGCUAGUUCCAGUGGAGCCGUCCUUGAAAUACCACCCUGGUAAUGUUGAGGUUCUAACUCUGUCCCGUGAUCCGGGACGAGGACCGUGUCUGGUGGGUAGUUUGACUGGGGCGGUCUCCUCCUAAAGAGUAACGGAGGAGUACGAAGGUGCGCUCAGCGUGGUCGGAAAUCACGCGUAGAGUAUAAAGGCAAAAGCGCGCUUAACUGCGAGACCCACAAGUCGAGCAGGUACGAAAGUAGGUCUUAGUGAUCCGGUGGUUCUGUAUGGAAGGGCCAUCGCUCAACGGAUAAAAGGUACUCUGGGGAUAACAGGCUGAUACCGCCCAAGAGUUCAUAUCGACGGCGGUGUUUGGCACCUCGAUGUCGGCUCAUCUCAUCCUGGGGCUGAAGCAGGUCCCAAGGGUAUGGCUGUUCGCCAUUUAAAGAGGUACGCGAGCUGGGUUUAGAACGUCGUGAGACAGUUCGGUCCCUAUCUACCGUGGGCGCUGGAAAUUUGAGAGGAUCUGCUCCUAGUACGAGAGGACCAGAGUGGACGAACCUCUGGUGUACCGGUUGUGACGCCAGUCGCAUCGCCGGGUAGCUAUGUUCGGAAGGGAUAACCGCUGAAAGCAUCUAAGCGGGAAGCCUACCUCAAGAUAAGAUUUCCCUAGGACUUUAUGUCCUCUAAAGAGCCGUUCGAGACUAGGACGUUGAUAGGUUGGAUGUGGAAGCAUAGUGAUAUGUGAAGCUGACCAAUACUAAUUGCUCGUGAGGCUUGACUAU